AUAGCUUUUGUAUCGAUCCCGUCGUGAACCUCAACAGUAGAGCAUCUUCGAACCGGGGCUGCAGAAACUUGAUAUCCCACGCUAUCAAAAUCCCGCCCGCAUGGUCAUUUCAAAUUCUGUUGCUUUGAAAGAAACAUUGCCCUGCCGAUUUCUACUUGUUUCUGACAACUUGGUUUUACUUGAAAGUGAAAAUACUUCGAUGAGGAUUGCAGUUUGACUGUCGUGGGAGAAAAAGACAAAACGUUGACAAUAAGGACGGAAUUCGAAGUGAGAUACCAUCAUUCAUGGCCCCAUCAUCAAUGAUAAUCAAGAAGCAGGCUUCCUGUGUCCAAAUCCUCCUUCUUCAGAAAAACCAAGGGAGAAUGACCAGGAUAUUUCACCCCCUGGAAUAUCUGAAGGGGUUAUGCCCUUUAGUGGUGUGGAGAAAAAGAAGAAAAAAAGUGAACCAAGAACUGAACAAUGCCAUCACAGAGCAAGUCUCAUUGCAGGACAAAAAUUUAAAAAGGAACAUGGGAAAGAAAAAUAUGAGAAUGCUAAGAAGAGCUCAGUGCACGAUACAAGAUAAGCUAAUGUAAAACACACUUAUUGCGAAGUACAAUGAAUGAACAAUUUUGAUUAGGCGUAGUUCAUUGUAUCCAUUAAGUUCACAGCAAUAUUCUAAAAUUUAAGGAAAUGAAAAUCACUAUAACCAUGAAUUCAUUAUAAGCAUCUCUGCUGUAAUACAAAGUCAUCAGAGAUUGGUACACUGUAUUUUCAAGAUAAUUUAUAAUUUUUGUAUAAUACAAAUUUUGAAUUUUCCUUAAAUGGGAAGAUUUAUUAAUGUAAAGUUUAUUUGAAUGACAUUUUGUUGUCCAUCAAAAUGUUAAGAAAAACUGCC